GCAGGCAGUUGCGAUUUCUCUAGUUUCUCUCAGGACAGGGAAGACUUACACAAUGUCCUGACACCACACCCUGACACUAUGUGGGCUCUGAUCUUCUGGUUCCUGACCCACCCCCAAGAAACUGGAGCCCACCCAGGUUUUCACCAAUCGGAUGAAGAUCUUCCAGUUGAGCCUGAGAAACAUUCAGCAAUACUACAACAGCUCUGGUGACCGGAGUCAGAGAGCAGACGGCUUCCACCAGCAAGCAGAGCCUCUUCAGCUCACCACGUCCAAGACAGAAGUAUGUGCUAGGGGCAGAUGGGGACUUCAAGCAACCACCCUGUGUGUCCUCAUGGUUUUCUGGGCCUGGUGCUAGUGUUUCUUGGACUUACCUGCUACAGAAUCCAGGCCAGAAGAAAGGACUGGCUCCGUCAGUUCCUGAAGAGGAGAGGCUCUCAGGAUGAGGACCCAGGGACAGGGGGCUCUGUGGGACCGGGAAAGGUAGCCUAGUCCCCGGGUGAGCUAAGGCAAGAAGCCCAGAGACUCUGAAGGGAUGGUAGGAGCUUUGCCUGUGCCUGGGCACUAGGCCCAUCAGUAGCCGUACCCUCAUAGAUUUGUGGCCAUCAGUUAUGUAAUGGCAAAAGGCCCAAGCCCCCCACAUUAGAUGAAGAAAAGAGCUGUGACUCCAAGUCACAGAGGCUCUUAGGCUUGUGGACAGCUUUUGGGAGUCAGUUCUCACCUUUGAUCUCUGGGGAUCAAAGAGUUUGGAAAGACGCCAUUUACCCACUGAGCCUUCUCUCAAGCCUCAAUAAACAUCUUUAAAUUCUU
rnacentral:lncRNA from 1 species